rnacentral:rRNA from 1 species
GCGAACAGGAUUAGAUACCCUGGUAGUCCACGCUGUAAACGAUGUCGAUUUGGAGGUUGUGCCCUUGAGGCGUGGCUUCCGGAGCUAACGCGUUAAAUCGACCGCCUGGGGAGUACGGCCGCAAGGUUAAAACUCAAAUGAAUUGACGGGGGCCCGCACAAGCGGUGGAGCAUGUGGUUUAAUUCGAUGCAACGCGAAGAACCUUACCUACUCUUGACAUCCAGAGAACUUUCCAGAGAUGGAUUGGUGCCUUCGGGAACUCUGAGACAGGUGCUGCAUGGCUGUCGUCAGCUCGUGUUGUGAAAUGUUGGGUUAAGUCCCGCAACGAGCGCAACCCUUAUCCUUUGUUGCCAGCGGUUCGGCCGGGAACUCAAAGGAGACUGCCAGUGAUAAACUGGAGGAAGGUGGGGAUGACGUCAAGUCAUCAUGGCCCUUACGAGUAGGGCUACACACGUGCUACAAUGGCAUAUACAAAGAGAAGCGACCUCGCGAGAGCAAGCGGACCUCAUAAAGUAUGUCGUAGUCCGGAUUGGAGUCUGCAACUCGACUCCAUGAAGUCGGAAUCGCUAGUAAUCGUAGAUCAGAAUGCUACGGUGAAUACGUUCCCGGGCCUUGUACACACCGCCCGUCACACCAUGGGAGUGGGUUGCAAAAGAAGUAGGUAGCUUAACCUUCGGGAGGGCGCUUACCACCUUGUGAUUCAUGACUGGGG